rnacentral:lncRNA from 1 species
CUUCAGUUAAAUUUUAGUGGCCUCUAAAAUUUUAGCGCCCGCUAAAAAUAUUUUGGUAUUCUGUAAAUCAUACAUCCGUUAAAAUCAUAACCUAAACCGUUAAAACUCCCUCUAAAUAAAAAUAUUUUAGAGGAUGUCAAAACGUACCCGCUAAAUUUUUAGCAGUCCGUUAAAUGUGGUUUGAUUAUUUUUGUUGGGUUAUGUUUGUAUGAAUAGUAGUUUGUUAUUCUUGUAUUAUACUGGAGAUAAAUAUUUAAAAAUGGAAAAUUGCUUUUUAUAAUGUAUUUGGUGAAGAAGUACUUAAUAAAUAAUAAUAAAAGAGCUGAUUUCAGAUUACAACAUAAACACAAAGUAAAUAAUUGACCUGAAAGUAAAUAACUACAAUUACCAUUUCAAAGGAAGUAGGUACCUAACUAAGUACCUAGAAAUGUUAUUGAAAAAGUGUUGGAAGUCAAAGAUGUUUGUCAAAGCAAUUAAAUCCUAUUAAUGCAGGUAAAAUUAUUUAAAGUUAUUGUGGAACAUUACAAAACUUACCAAAUGAUUACAAAGGUAAAGUUUCAGAAGGUUUAUAAACAGAUGCAGAUUAACCUUAAUGUUAUUGAAAAUAGACCAUUUGACCAAAAUUAGUGUCGAAGGGGAGAAGAAAAAAUAAGAUAUGCAUUUUUUCAGCAAUAUUUUAAUGUAUAACUUUAUAAAUAAAAAUGUUUAAUUGGAAAAUAUGAGUUUUACUAAAAAAUAAUUAAAUAUAAUAAAUAUUAUUUUCUAGGAAACUGUCAUUUUCUUCUUCUUCUUAAGGUUUUUGGCCUCUAACAGUCAGUUUUCGGUCAAUUUCUAGGUUAAAAGUAGUUCAAAACGAUCAACGUGCGACGUUGCCGUAUUUGUUCCAAAACCUUUUAGAGGAUUCCUCUAAAAUAAUAUUAUUUUAGCGGUCCUCUAUAAUAUGUGUUU